rnacentral:tRNA from 1 species
GUGCCUAUGGCUCAGCAGCUAGGGCGCCAGUCACAUACACUGGAGCUGGCAGGUUCGAAUCCAGCCUAGGCCU